CCAGCCAUAUGAAUUGGCUUUAUAAAUUCUCAUUCACCAAGUAUUCCUUUCAAUGAUAACCAAAAACUCAAAAAUAAAGUAUUUUGCAUGCCUUACUACUAUCAGAGAGAGAAAUGGCAAGCACAAUGAUAAGAGGGUGGCCUAAGGUUCCGGUGUUACGUGAUUAGAUUGGGAGAAACUAUGAAGUGCAUCUUUGUCAUCGUUACUACGUGAAAGAGGUGUAGAAUAUUAGUGCAUCAUAGGUCU
rnacentral:lncRNA from 1 species